GGCUCAUUACAUUAAGCGGAAAAAAUGGAAGUAAAAUAAAACAAAAGCAUAACACUAGCUGGGUUUGAGUCUGGUGCAGACCCUGCAGGAAAAGGACUGAUGCACCCAUGUGAAGGGUCCUGUCACUUCAUUGCUGUCUGGAAUACUGCUUAAACAUGUCAGGCUACGCAUAAUCUUGGUGCUAUGAGAGUUUGGUGUGCAGCAUGGCAAUAGGGGAUGGAAAGCAUUUUUUAAUUUUUUAAUAUUUUUUUAAAUUUUUUUAAAUAUUUUUUACUGACAUAGUCAUACAAUCCUUUCAGAAAUACAGUGAUAAAUACACAGGAACGUAAAGAACAUCAUACGCAAGUUUGUCAGGACUUACUGAAUGAAUACAAGUCUGAAGUUGAUAGUUUCUUGGAUCUCAUCACUAACGAUGAGAAGACAUAGUGUCACCAUUAUGAUCUGGAGUCAUCAUAACAGUCCAUAGAGUAGCAACAUGUGAAUUACUCAUCAUAGAAAAAGCUCAAGACACAGCUCUUAAUGAGUAAAGUGAUGAGCAAUGUCUUUUGGGAUAGGAAAGGGGUGAUCCUUCUGAAUUUCCUGGAACCCAAACAAACCAUCAGUUCUGACCUCUACAUCACCACACUGACUAAGCUGAAAGCUCGAAGUACCAGAGUCACACCAGAGAUGACAACCUUUCUCUCACAACUCAAUAAUGUCAGGUUCCAUAGCAGUUUGAAGACCGUGGAGCGCAUUGCCAGUCCUGGCUGGGCUGCCCUACUGCACCCAUCUCAUAGGCCAGAAUUUGUGCCUUCUGCCUUCCAUCUGUUUCCAUCUAUGAAAGAUGGACAGCAGGGGCAACAGUUUCAUAGCAUUGAUACUGUCAUAACAGCUGUGAAACAUUUCCACGGAAACAAAUAGGAGGCACUACUUCCAGCUGCAAAAAGUGGAGCGAAAAUAGAGUAAAAUAAGUUUUAAGUUCAUCCUGGUUGAUUGAAAGCUACCAGUAGAAGAGUCUCCUGACAGUUUGCAGUGGUGCAGCUCUUCACAGAGACAGCAGUAAUGGCAGGGCAUUUGAGAAUGACAUUUUUGACAACAUUUUUUGGAACUGUGCAUGAUUCUGUGUUUACCAAAUUGGAGACCUUCAGCUCCAGUGCAAAGCCGUUUGUGGCAGAUCUGCUACAAUUUCUCAGAAUGAAGAAAUGAGCACGUUGUAGAAAUAGGAGAUAUCAAAAAGCAAAUAAAAUGAGUGUGAAAGCAUCAAA